GUCUAUGACCAUGCCACCCUGAACAAGCCCGAUCCUGUAUGAUCUCGGAAGCUAAGCAGAGUUGGGCCUGGUUAGUACUUGGAUGGGAGACCACCUAGGAAGACCAGGUGCUUGUAGGUG
rfam:Pteropus alecto contig12398, whole genome shotgun sequence.